rnacentral:rRNA from 1 species
GUUCCGCCUCACCGCGAGUACUGGUCCGGCUGGACCUUUCCUUCUGGGGAACCUCAUGGCCUUCACUGGCUGUGGGGGGAACCAGGACUUUUACUGUGAAAAAAUUAGAGUGUUCAAAGCAGGCCUUUGCUCGAAUACAUUAGCAUGGAAUAAUAGAAUAGGACGUGUGGUUCUAUUUUGUUGGUUUCUAGGACCGCCGUAAUGAUUAAUAGGGAUAGUCGGGGGCGUCAGUAUUCAGCUGUCAGAGGUGAAAUUCUUGGAUUUGCUGAAGACUAACUACUGCGAAAGCAUUCGCCAAGGAUGUUUUCAUUAAUCAGGGAACGAAAGUUAGGGGAUCGAAGACGAUCAGAUACCGUCGUAGUCUUAACCAUAAACUAUGCCGACUAGGGAUCGGACGGGAUUCUAUAAUGACCCGUUCGGCACCUUGCGAGAAAUCAAAGUUUUUGGGUUCUGGGGGGAGUAUGGUCGCAANGGGCUGGAAACUUAAAGAAAUUGACGGAAGGGCACCACAAGGCGUGGAGCCUGCGGCUUAAUUUGACUCAACACGGGGAAACUCACCNAGGUCCAGACAAAAUAAGGAUUGACAGAUNUGAGAGCUCUUUCUUGAUCUUUUGGAUGGUGGUGNCCAUGGCCGUUCUUAGUUGGUGGAGUGAUUUGUCUGCUUAAUUGCGAUAACGAACGAGACUUCGGCCCUUAAAUAGCCCGGUCCGCAUUUGCGGGCCGCUGGCUUCUUAGGGGGACUAUCGGCUCAAGCCGAUGGAAGUGCGCGGCAAUAACAGGUCUGUGAUGCCCNUUAGAAUGUUCUGGCCGCACGCGCGUACAUGACAGGGCCAGCGAGUACAUCACUUAACCGAGAGGUUUGGGUAAUCUUGUUAAACCUGUCGUGUGGGAUAGAGCAUGCAAUUAUUGCUCUUCAACGAG